rnacentral:ncRNA from 1 species
UUUAGUAGAGGCGCGUUUCUCAUCAGUACGUUUUUGGAUGCGAUAGAGAGCAGAAGAAGAGAGCGAAAAGGGAGCAACGCCGAAGGGAUGAAAGCUCUAUGUUUCAUUUCCUGGGCAUAUGGUAAAGAACCUUAUGACUGUCAUCGUUUGAUGGAGUGCUGCUAG